UGAACCAAGGUGACAACAGUAUGGCUGGGGAGAUGUCUCAGUGGUUAAAGUGUUUUUGUGCAAGUGUGAAGACUAGGGUUUGGAUCCACAGAAACCAUGUGAAGACUGUGUUGGUAUGCCAACCAACCAAAAUCUCAGCAGAUAGGAGGAGAAGACAGGGAAACUCUGGAGCAAGCUGGCUAGCCAGACCAACCAAAAUGUUUCUCUUCAAGAUGCACUGCUGUGUUAUGAGGUCCAGUCGGCAAAGCUAGAAUAGUUUGAGCACUUCGCAUCACAAUUGUGCAGAACUGUGGUCCAGCAUAAUCCCUCUUCGGUACCCUUUUUCUAUCACGAGGCUCCCAUUGUCAGCAGCUAACCACUUCUGUACUUGGACCAGCUUUCCACGCUGCGAGGAAGCCAGAACUAGCUAAGUGUUAAAUUACAGAUAAUUGUUUGUUUUACACAUUGGCUUCCACCUGCCCUUGUUCCCUUCAGCAAUUGUUCUCUCUGGCAGUUUCUCAAAGUGUGGAUUCAGAACACCUGCAUCACAGCUACUCAGCCUGUCAUUUCAAAUGCAGCUUCCUGAACUGCUGCAUAGCUCAUGGAUGAAGUUCUCUCUGGAUUUGUCCAAUAAAGUUAGUGAAUGACUGCCAUUGGCUUGA